UUACGCUGUCUCACAUCAUGAAACUAGCUGUCAUCACAAAGAAAUAAAACAUAAGCAAUGGCAAAUAAGUAAAAAUGACGGACAAUUUGGCUAUUUUUGUGGAAAUCAUUGACUUAGCCAAGCGAGCACGGCCAUCCAAGGAUGCCCGUAGGAUUCUGCAGGGACACCACCCAUUCUCGGUCGGUUGGAGCCGUUCCUCGCGACUUCGACAGUCCCAUCUACCGCACAGGGACAACUUACUCGCACAUUUAGGAUUUAACAGACGUUUCAUAAUCACGCUAAGAAUUCGUUCCCCAAUGGAAAAGGCUACAGGCGCCGCGGAAAGAUAUGCUCUACCAGUCAUGUAUUGAUAGAGCUGGCAUGGAAACACGGCAAACUAAAAGGGACACACGGGAUGCGCGCGGGUCGGGUCACCUAUUCCUGAGGAGUUCCAAGGAAAAAGAAGGGACAGGCCAAACGGCCAACGACGAGGACAACUAAGGCUCUCGGGUCUAAUUCCGGAUUAAUUAACAGGUCAAAUAAAAAGAAGGAUAAAGCAAUGGAUGUACACAUGUAAUCAACAAUCUGAACUUCAGACACUUCUGGGCUGG